GUUGAGCCAGGAGGUGGUGGUGCACGCCUUUAAUUCUAGCUCUUGAUCCGGGAAAUGGGUGUGUUUACUUAGGACUGGGGCAGAUUAAUCUACUUCUUCUUUCUGUGGAAAAAAUUGCUCUCUCCUGCAAGGCGCGGCAAGAACUGAAACCAGGAGGAAGCUUUGCUCAAUAGGAAGUGAGCUCCAAUUCUAAAAUGGGGAAGCACUGCGUUCCUCCAGCGAGACGAUCCUGAGCUGAAAAGGAGUGAGAAGCGGACUCGGACGGCUGGGGGCCCCUGGAAACAACCCACGUGGCCGCCAGGAAGACAUCGCGAAAUCAAUGGUGGAGCAUCUGCGCUGUGGCAUACUGGAUUAGAUUCCUCUCUAUUCCUUCCAUGAGGUGUCCUUACAAAAACAACUAAGGGGUUCGUUUAUUCUAGCUCACAACCUCAGACUACACUACAGUCCCUGGAGGUUCCGGUGGCAGAGGCUUCCAAGAGCUGGUCACAUGACAACCAGAACAAGUGUACCCACGUACGCGUCUCAGCCCAGUCUUUACUGUCUGGCGCCCAGCCCAGGAAACUG
rnacentral:lncRNA from 1 species